AAUAAAAUGUGUGGUGUGAUACUUGAUUGUUGCAUUUCAUAUGGGUAGUGUAAUUACUCUUUAGACCAUUGUUCUAUGCUAAUCCCACCCCGCCACAAACACCAGAUGCCUCCGAGACGUGUCCCUCCUUCCAACUUCCCGCCGGAGCACACUCAGUUGAUUUAGCAACAGAAUACCCUGAUGCAGCUGAUCAUCCAGAACCAGAAC
rnacentral:lncRNA from 1 species